UGAACGCUGGCGGUCUGCUUAACACAUGCAAGUCNAACGGAGUACUUCGGUACUUAGUGGCGGACGGGAGAGUAACGCGUGAGGAUCUGCCCUCAGGAGGGGGACAACGACUGGAAACGGUCGCUAAUACCCCAUAUGCCGAGAGGUGAAAUGUUUUUUCGCCUGAGGAUGAGCUCGCGUCAGAUUAGCUAGUUGGUGGGGUAACGGCCUACCAAGGCGACGAUCUGUAGCUGGUCUGAGAGGAUGAUCAGCCACACUGGGACUGAGACACGGCCCAGACUCCUACGGGAGGCAGCAGAGGGGAAUUUUCCGCAAUGGGCGAAAGCCUGACGGAGCAAGACCGCGUGGAGGGAUGACGGCCUAAUGGUUGUAAACCUCUUUUCUCUGGGAAGAUAAAUGGACGGNACCNGAGGAAUAAGCCUCGGCUAACUCCGUGCCAGCAGCCCGCGGUAAUACCGAGGAGGCAAGCGUUAUCCGGGAAUUAUUGGGGCGUAAAGCGUCCGUAGGNGGUUAAUCAAGUCACCUGUUAAAGAGCGGAGCUCANCUCCGUUAGAGCGGUUGAAACUGAUUGACUAGAGUUUGGUAGGGGUCGAGGGAAUUCCCAGUGUAGCGGUGAAAUGCGUAGAUAUUGGGAAGAACACCGGUGGNGAAAGCGCUCGNCUGGGCCUGAACUGACACUGAGGGACGAAAGCUAGGGGAGCGAAAGGGAUUAGAUACCCCNGUAGUCCUAGCCGUAAACGAUGGAUACUAGGUGUUGCUCGU
rnacentral:rRNA from 1 species